rnacentral:lncRNA from 1 species
GUCCCUGCCUGUGCCCCCUGGCUGACUCCCUCACACAUCAUCACUGCUUUAGUAGGUGGUAGGUGUUGGUGGUGUCCUUCACUGUCUGUCUUUUCUACCAGGAUGGUAUAUCUUCCCCACCUGCUGGGAGUGUCAGUUCCCAACAGCUCACUGCUAUGGUUCUCUGGAGAACUGUCCCUCAGCCAAUGGAAAUACAUUCCCCUGAAGAGGGGCAGGGAACCCUGGAUCAGAUCCUAUGAACAAACCCUUGUGUGUGCCAAUCACAUCCACAGCAUUGGUUCAAGUUGCUAUGACAGGUGCGAGGUAGAAGAAACCCAGAAGAGCUUCGUGGACUGUGAUGAUGUGGUGGUAUCUUGGAAGAAGAGCUUAAUGCUUCAACUUCAGCAGCCACUGUCAUCUUUCUGGCUAAGACAUCGCAAACUUUGUCAUUGUUUCCUUGAUUAAUUUUUUGGUAACACAAUGGACAGAUUUUUAACCACAGAAUAAAUCCUUAUAAUAAAUUUGACUUGCA